UCUUUCUUUCUUUCUUUCUUUCUUUCUUUCUUUCUAUCUAUCUAUCUAUCUAUUUAUUUUGCAGGGCGGAGGGGGUGGUACUUAGGUUUAUUUAUUUAGUUAGUUUUUUUGAUGGAGGUACUGGGGAUUGAACCCAGGACCUCAUGCUUGCUAAGCAAGCACUCUACCACUGAGAGAUACCCUCCCCCACCCUAUCCUAUUCCUGUGCAAUUUAAAUGUCUGUCUUCUUUUGGUUCUCAGAUCAUUCAUCAUUUCACAAAGCGGAUCCAGACCAAAAUGAAGGAUCUUCUACAGCAGAUGGAAGAAGGGCGGAAGACAGCUGGUCCCCAUGAUUGCUCUGCUUAUACUGGUUGGACAGGUAACACUCUGGGCUGUAUGCGACUUUUCCUUGGAUGUACCUGAUCUCCAGAAUCUUCUCCAGUUCCAACAUUGCUUUCACCUCGUACAAGUCCUUGAACUUCAUCUUUGGCCUCCGCACCUUGCUGAUGACCGUCAUGCUCCGGCUGCUGGCCACCACCUCCAAAGUCCAGGCGUCCUUCUGCCAUUCAGGGCACAGUCACAUUUUCUAAGGACAUAGAUGUUGGAAAGGAGCAAAUGAGGGUGUUGAAAGGAAGAACCUAUGGAGACAUUCUCAUGUUGUACAACCUUAGUAAAAGUUACAGAAGCUUUUUCAAGAGAACCACCGCUGUGCAAGACAUAAGCUUGGGUGUAAGAAGAGGAGAGUUCUUUGGGCUCCUGGGGUGAACGGAGCUGGGAAGACCACCACGUUCAAAAUGCUUGAAUGGAGACAUCCCUCUGACCUCCAGACACGCCGUCAUCAGGACACCCAUGGGUCCUCUCCUACAUGGACUCUUGAAAAGCCUCUUGCUGUUGGGAAGUCUUCCUCCAGCGUAUGAAGAAGGCCGGGCUCGCUUGUUGAAGAGAUGGGAUCAACCUAGAGCCAGCGCCAAGCAACAGACAUUGUAACAGACAGGCAGCAGCGGUGGCGUCACUGUUGGACACUGUCUGGGAUGACGGAAUGGGUCAUGUGAACUGACCACAACACAAGCCAGUGGAGCCUCUGCACCAUCCAUCAGCCGCAGGGGUUUGUCUCACCGUAGCUCCAGACAUCACUCUGGGACAGACACUGCCUCACUACAGCUAUUCCAGUGCCAUGGGGUAGGUUUCUCUUGUGAAAUGCGGUUCUGUCACAGACAAAGGCUGCCAGCUGCAACGUGAAAGGACUCCAGAUGGAGGUAAACCCAAACGAAGUACCACUGGCAGAGCACUGGAUUUAAACAGCAGAUUGAAAUUGUGAGUAAUGUUACACAGAGAAAACUUUCUGGCCCGGGAAACUCAACUCAUGCACUUUGGAAACUCACCCCUGACUGGGGCCUGGGAAACUCAACUCAUGCACUUUGGAAACUCACCCCUGACUGGGGCCUGGGAAACUCAACUCAUGCACUUUGGAAACUCACCCCUGACCGGGGCCCGGGCAGAGCUGAAUUCGUUCUGCGGCGGGCACUGUCAGAUCUGGGGUUUUGUAUUUAGCUCACGUUGUAGAUGACUGAUUUUGAGGGUCACAGAAAGUUCCAAUCAUGCAGACUUGUGGUCAGGCAGAUGUGAAUGUAAGAUUGCAAAGGCGAGAGGGGAAAAGCUCGUGUACAAGAGAAGACCCAGAACAGGGGGCGCUGCUCUAAGGGAUAAGAGUUGGUACGGAACUUGAAUAAGACAAGGUUGCAGCUUAGAUGUUAGUCAUUAAUCCAACUUUAACUAGUCAGAACAUGGGACAUGGGGGAAAACAGAGGAGUGAGCAUCCGGGCACUGGGGCCUGAGGCGGGUGCUUCCUGGAGGUCCUGCAGGGGAUUGAGGGGGACAGACGGCAGAGCCCCACCUUCAGCCACACAGACGAGGGGCAGAGAGACCACCUGCCUAACAAAAGCCAGGACUGAGAGCUGAAUCCAUGGAACCAUAACUCUAGCUCUGUGUUGGGCAAAAUUUGCCAAGGCUGUGUGUCCCAUCACAUAAAAAGCCACUUUUGUGCAGCUGCGAAUUGACACAGAUACUCAGUUAAGAAAUGCUGAGUCUCUGGGAGCUCUCUGGUGAGCUGGGACUUAGCGGCCAGGCAGGAGAUGACCCCGGCUGUGCAGGGUUCUGGGCUCCCCGCCAGAGGCAGGGCGCAGCCAGGGCACGGCUCCCACAGAGCUCAGCUCCCAGUCUCCAGUAAACAAGUAAAGAAACCAGAUCUUCCCAGGUAGCAAUAUGUGCUUUAAAAAAAUAAAGCAAAUUCAGCAAGGUAGUAGAGGCUGCCUGGGGUGGAGGGUGCUCCCUUGGUGACCCUUCUGCCUUAGAUGAUCAGGGAAGAGACUCAGGAAGAAUUUCUGGGUUCAGAGGAGACCUCCAGGAAUAAUUCUACAUUCAGGGAAAACUACUCAGAGCUAAGCACCUCCUCCCCCACAUCAGCCACUGAACUGGGCUGCAGUGUCCCCCCCAAAUUUUCAUGUCUCUCCAGAACCCCAGAAUGUGACCUCAUUCAGACAUAGGGUUUAGACCUACUUAGUUAAAGAUCUCGAGACGAAAUCCUCCUCGAUGUAGGGGUGACUCAUGUCUUUGAAGAAGGUGAUGUGGAGUCAGGCAUGGGGAAGGAGGCCAUGUGAGGAUGGAGGUGGAGAUGGGAGGGAUGCGGCCGCAGGCCUGGGAGUGCCUGGACCACCGGAACUGGGGGGGGGGAGGAGUCUCCCCUAGAGCCUUCGCAGGGCGAUGGCCCUUCUGACACCUUGACUUCAGACUUCCGACCUCCAGACUAACUCCUGUUGUGGGAACCAGCAGACUUGUGGCUAUUUUUGGUGUAGCACCAGGAAACUAAUAAGACAGUCGCACAGAGAAAUACCAGCAUCUUCAGGACACCACAGAGUCUGGGGCACACAGGCCCCACCAGGACCAGCAUGUAGCAAUGGCGUGUAACUGCUCAGUUCUGUGACCAGGCAUAUGGCGUGAGAGUGACAAGAACCAAGUGAUGGGUGGGGGUCCCCACGUCCUCACACUAAGGCAACCCAACAAAGAGACAAUUGUGCGAAGGUAGCUAAACAACUAGAUUUUCAGUGUUCAGUAGGACAGGCGCUGAUCUAAUGUGAAAGACAAUCAAUUCAAUUGAUCCCAAAUAAAAGUGUACACUGUGUA